UACGAAGGGUGCAAGCGUUAAUCGGAAUUACUGGGCGUAAAGCGUGCGUAGGUGGUUUCUUAAGUCUGCUGUGAAAGCCCUGGGCUCAACCUGGGAAUGGCGGUGGAUACUGAGGAGCUAGAGUGCGGUAGAGGAGGGUGGAAUUCCCGGUGUAGCGGUGAAAUGCGUAGAGAUCGGGAGGAACAUCAGUGGCGAAGGCGGGUCUCUGGGCCGAAACUGACGCUGAGGAGCGAAAGCGUGGGGAGCAAACAGG
rnacentral:rRNA from 1 species